GAGGGAUCAGAGGAUACAACUUGGAAAGACAAGAUAUCGGUUCAUUCUUAGGAAAACAUAGGAACUUUCCGAGGUUUUUUUGGAACACUUCCUGCCUAGGACCAGAAGGUUGGCAUGCUCGAAAAACCUGUGACUUACUUGGUUUGCAUUUCACUGCUCUGCUGAUGCCCAGCUCCUCAGCUCCUUGGAGGGACUGAACAAGGGCACUUUGGGAAGACUUUUUACAAAGACCUCACUGGAAACCUUGCUUUGCCAAGGGGCCUGGCCUGCCAGACAAUCAUCAGGCAAUAGCUGUUAGCCCCUGAGGAAGAUAUGAACAAGAAGCUGUUUGAAAGCAUUAUCUUCUAGAAACUAAAUUUCAAAACAAGGAAGAAACCACAGCUCAGACGACACACAGGAAAACUGCAUUUCCCACCCACGGUUGCAGUUAGGAGCAGUCAUGUGACCAAGUUCCGGACAAUUGGAAACUGGGCAGAAGUGAUCUGCAAUCAGAGUAUCCUGUUGAAGAACUCCAAGUCUCUGGCAAAUGGAAAGCUAUCAUAUGAACAAAUCCUAGUUCCAGCGGACUGUGUAGAGCUCCUUCCACCCCGCAACCAGAUGACC